AUUUUGUAGCACACCUCUGCACUUUUUCUAGUGCCAUAAUAUCCUCCUUUAGAAAAGGUUCCCAAAAUUGCACAGCAUAUUCAAGAUGUGGAUUUACUAGGGAUUUAUAAAGAGGCAAAAUGAUAUUCUCAUCCCGAGAAUGAAUGCCCUUUUUCAAUGCAUGACUACCUGACUGGCCUUAGCCACUGCUAAUUGACAUUGCACAUUGUUGCAUAGUUUGUUGUCUU